AUUGAACGCUGGCGGCAGGCUUAACACAUGCAAGUCGAGCGGGGUGAUGGUGCUUGCACUAUCACUUAGCGGCGGACGGGUGAGUAAUGCUUAGGAAUCUGCCUAUUAGUGGGGGACAACAUCUCGAAAGGGAUGCUAAUACCGCAUACGUCCUACGGGAGAAAGCAGGGGAUCACUUGUGACCUUGCGCUAAUAGAUGAGCCUAAGUCGGAUUAGCUAGGUUGGUGGGGUAAAGGCCUACCAAGGCGACGAUCUGUAGCGGGUCUGAGAGGAUGAUCCGCCACACUGGGACUGAGAAACGGCCCAGAAUCCUCCGGGAGGCAGCAGUGGGGAAUAUUGGACAAUGGGGGGAACCCUUAUCCAGCCAUGCCGCGUGUGUGAAGAAGGCCUUAUGGUUGUAAAGCACUUUAAGCGAGGAGGAGGCUCUUUUGGUUAAUACCCAAGAUGAGUGGACGUUACUCGCAGAAUAAGCACCGGCUAACUCUGUGCCAGCCGCCGCCGUAAGAC
rnacentral:rRNA from 1 species